rnacentral:rRNA from 1 species
AUACCUACGGGGGGCAGCAGUGAGGAAUAUUGGUCAAUGGGCGAGAGCCUGAACCAGCCAAGUCGCGUGAGGGAAGACGGUCCUAUGGAUUGUAAACCUCUUUUGCCGGGGAGCAAAAAGCGGUACGUGUACCGCAUCGAGAGUACCCGGAGAAAAAGCAUCGGCUAACUCCGUGCCAGCAGCCGCGGUAAUACGGAGGAUGCGAGCGUUAUCCGGAUUUAUUGGGUUUAAAGGGUGCGUAGGCGGAUUUGUAAGUCAGCGGUAAAAAUGCGGUGCUCAACGCCGUAUCGCCGUUGAAACUGCGG